CAGCAGCCGCGGUAAUACGAAGGGUGCAAGCGUUACUCGGAAUUACUGGGCGUAAAGCGUGUGUAGGUGGUUGUUUAAGUCUGUCGUGAAAGCCCUGGGCUCAACCUGGGAAUUGCGAUGGAUACUGGGCGACUAGAGUGCGGUAGAGGAUAGUGGAAUUUCCGGUGUAGCAGUGAAAUGCGUAGAGAUCGGAAGGAACAUCUGUGGCGAAGGCGACUAUCUGGGCCAACACUGACACUGAGACACGAAAGCGUGGGGAGCAAACAGGAUUAGAUACCCGAGUAGUCCCUGUCUCUUAUAC
rnacentral:rRNA from 1 species